rnacentral:lncRNA from 1 species
AAACUAGUCGUCCAGCGCGCGCGCGCUACUCAGCUACUGUAGAUCACCGCCUCUGGAUUAUAUUCUGUAACAGUAACUUACUGUGGAAGGCUUGUGCGGAAUACGCGUGCGUACCAUUAGGCAGCCUAUGCCAUAUCCUGCAUGCUCGACCGGCUGUAGCGGCGGAUCCAAGAGUUUUUUUUUUAAGGAGGGGCAUGAAGUGUUAUAUCGGCAUGGGUCCCGGGGCCAAAGGGCCCCGGAAAAAAAAUUGAACUAUAAGAUGCUUUAUGGUACAUUCUGAGGCAUUUCUGAAUGCGUAAACUGAACAUUUAUUUGAAAAUUCUGGGCUUUUCCCUGUUUUUUCGGAAGGAAAAGGGGGCAUGUACCCCAACGCUCCCCAUGGGUCCGCCCUGGCAAGGCUAGCUAGCUCGACGCGAUCCGGCAGGGCUAGCUCUCUGCAGUACGCCCAGGACUGGCGUCGACCGCCGGCGCCGCCGCUAGACCCGCCAGAGCGCCUAGCUAGAUACCGUACCUGCAGCUAGCAUCAGCUACAGUUUCAGCUGGUCGGCGCAGCUUUUUAGCCUUGCCUAUGCUGCUGGUGGUUCCUUGUCUUCACUCCAAAAAUAUCUACAAUGUAUACCAAAACCUAACAUGCUUGAAGAUGUAGGAGAUCCUCGCUAUCCAUCCACCUUCGCAGCUUCUUUUGCCUCACAAUUACCUCUGUCACAAGUCCUAUUAAACACCGUGCCUGAUUCUGGUGCAGAUGACAGCACUGGGGACACUUCGCCUCAAUUGAAGCUGUUAUACAACCCUUAGACACAACCACUUGCCUGCUAAUUACCUGCUAUGAAAGAAAUUACAUAUUGUGAGCUACUAGCAAAGGAACAACUUCAACACUGCAUCAAAUGGCUCGACCAAAGUUAUCAGUGGAGCAAUAUUCACCUGGUUUCCCCAAAACAAAACAGCACAUCCCAAAGAAUGGUGAACUCCAGUUGAAAAGACAUGCGAUUCUGAAAUAACCAUGGUCAUUUCAGACAUCUUGCGGGAGAAUUAAAAGGGGCAAGAACAGUCAGUGAUUUAGAUACAUUUUACCAUCAGGAGCAUUCACUGCAUUGCACAGUAUGUAACUGAAUAGUUGGAGAGAAACUGGACUCUGUGUAACUAUACUAGACAUGACAAGUACAGAAGUACUAGCUAGUAAUGGACAAGGAAUUUUACUCACGUGAGCAGUUCAAAACCGAAUCCAAGUAAGUUUUCCUCAAGUGUAUCCAACCAGUCCUUCAAAUGCUGCACCUAGACCACAAGGCCAUCCAAAACUGCACCACUCCGACAAUUCUGGGAGUUAUAUUACAGUCAGAUCUCAAAUGGAAUUUCAAGUGCCGGCAAGCGACUAUACAUUUACGACAUCUCAGAGUAUCAUGUGAAGAUCUAGCAGACAUCUUCUCGACAUAUCCGAUCUUCGCUAGAAUACGCUUCUCCAGUUUGGUCCACAUCAAUUUCCCGAACAGUUAUCUUGCAGUCUGAAGAAAGUGCAGAAACGUGUCUGCUGUAUUAUCCUUGGAUAAGAACAGUUGUAUGAAACCACUCGUUUCUCUCCAGAGUCUAACUUCUUGCCGUCUUGCCCUUCUUGAAUCCUUUUCUCUCAAACUGUUUAAGUCAUCACGAGAUCGAAUUAUGUUCUACCGCCAACUCGUCGCCAAACCUCUUGCCAUGAACUCUCAAACUCUCUACACAUAACUAUACCCUAUUGUAGAACUGAGAGACACCACACUUCAAUUAUUCCCUUUAUCGUACGACUCUUUAACAACUAACUGUGAUUUUAAUUAUCUUUGUCAUGUUUGUAUUUAUUUAUUUUUGCUUACCAUAUUAUUGUUUUUCAUUCUUCUCUUUUCCAUUCUUCAUUCUUUUAUCCUCCCCUCUCAUGUACUUUUUCUCCUUCUCUCUAAAUCAGCAAUUAAAGUACUUACAUGCAUUA